GCGGGGAGAAGAAUAUGCCCUGGCUUGCCACUAGCAUUGAGGAUGAUUCCAGUAAUGUUGGGCUCACUCUUGAAUUCAUUCAAUUGGAAACUUGAAGCAGGCAUUGAGCCACAAGCAUUAGACAUGGAGGAGAAGUUUGGUAUCACCUUAGCCAAAGCUCGUCCUUUGCGAGCUAUCCCCUCUCCUCUUUGAUGUUGCAUUGCCUAGUCGAUAAAUACUUAUUUGUAUUUGAUAUUUACAAUGAACCAAGUAUUUAAGUCUUAAUCUUAUCACUUCAACGUGACUUCACCAUGAUUAAGCGAUAAGUAUAAUACCUAUGUAACAUAUAUAUAUAUAUAUAUAUAUAUAUAUAUAUAUAUUGCCUAUAUAUGUAUAUUGCCUAUAUGAUGUUUCUCAUGAAUGUUAUUUGCUUUAGACAAAUAGACAAAAAGAGAAUAAAUAUAAAAGAUUAUGAAGAUCAAAAGAGGAGAUUCAUGUUGUGCAAUACUAUUAGUUAAUUUCCUCAUCAUAAAUAUUGUAGCAAUAAAAAAAAAUCUCUACCUGAAAAAUAAUAAUAUGAUAAAAUGUCAAUGAUAAAUUGAAAAUAUGAAAAUGACAUAAUAAUACAAUAUGUUUUUCUUAAUCGUUUGGUCUAUUAUUAGCUGUAAGAUGUAGACAUCAAGAUAUGGUCGAUUAUAACUUUGUAAUUUAACUCAAUAUUUUAAUUGUAUUAUGGCUCUCAACCAUAUAAAGAUACAUAUGUAGAUAUAAUAUGUAUUUAUAGAUUUGUCGAUGUAAGAUCUUAUAUAUAUUUAAUUGAGAUAAUGGUAUAAAAUACAACUAAUUUUUUGCGAGUUUCCUGCUUGAACUAUCAUAUAUUCACAUUUUCUAUUCAAACUAUCAUAAACUACUUACACAUCUCGAUGAGUAAAUAAUGAUACGUGAUGUACAUUCUAUAUUUUUUUGUUAUUUAAAAAGAUGCCAAAUGGCUUGCCAUGCGAAUAAUUAAAGAAAUUAAUUGAAAAUGGAUCAAAUAACUAUAUUAAUAAAAAUAACAUAAAUUAUGAAUAGAUAAUAUAAAAUAUAAAUUGAAAUGUCAAUGAUAUACUGAAAAUAUAUAGUGUAUUAAUAUAACUCACAAAUAUUGAUAAGUGGGCCAAAUCCACAAUCCAAUAUCUGUUAAGGAUGUUGGAUUGGGCCAUGAGAAGUUGCACAAGGACUACUAUUUUAAAUAUAGCCUAAAUUUAUUUUAUUUAUAUUUUAGCAACUUGGGUUUAAACUUGAGAUUUCAGGUUUGAGUUUCUAUUUCAGUUCUUCCAGACCAAGAACCUACUAAUGGACAAAAGUAAUUACUUCAUCCGUCCUAAAUUAUAUGACAUAAUUCGGAUUUUAAGAUCAAUUUUUUAAAAUUUUGAUUGUGUAUAUUUCUUGUUCAACCAUUGCAAAACAAGUCCUCAAAAAUCAAGAUCAAGUGACUACCAAUCAAAACAAACAAACACAAAUCUAAUGAUAUUCGGUGUGCCUGUCGGAGAAGACAAGGAAGGAUCUACUGUUUAUCGGGAAAACGAUAUAUAGUUAAAUUUGUAUGAAAUCAAUGACACACGUCUCAGUUUAACUAAUAGGGUAAAGUUUUCUCCGCAUAUGUCACAAAUUUGAGCUAGGUAAGUAAUAUCAUUAGGGUGAGAUGUCUAUAUCACACCUCUUGAGAUGCAACACUUCCUCGAACUCAACUAAUGUGUAAUGCUUUGUACAUCAAGCUGACCACCUGAAUAUAUAUGCAUAAUUAUGAAUAUAUAUGCAUAAUUAUUUAAUUUUGUAUUCAGGCAAAAUGAUGAUUUGCAAAUUCAAAUUUAAUUUAAUAUUUUAGUUACAUUUUAUCGCUCUCAAUCAUACAAUGGAAAAAGGUCAAAACUAUCCUUAAACUAUCUGAAAUAGCUUAGAUAUACCCUUAAACUAUAUUUUAGCUUAAAAAUAUCCUUCCCGACAAACUAUUAGGUCAAACCUACCCUUCUAAUUAAUGGAAGUAUUCAUGUGUGUGUUAAAUGCCACAUGGACUCCACAUUGCACGCCAAACAGCUCUCACUGCCACAUAGACAAAUUAAAUCCCUAAUUACUCUUUUCCCCCUCAUUUCAUCCUUUCCCUUAAAAAAAAUUGGCGGAAAUGGCAUGGGUGGGGGUGGCAUAAAAAAUGAAUUUUUUUUAAAUCUGAAAUAUUUUUCAAAAAUAAUUUUUAUUUUUGACGGGAAUGGUAGGGGAAGGCGUAAAAAUGAAAAAAAAUUAAAUUUGAACUAUUUUCCAAAAAAAAAAAAUUAAAAAAAUAAAUAAAUGGGUGAGGGUAUAAGGUUGGGGGUGGCGUAAAAAAUCAAUUUUUUUGAAAUUUGAAAUAUUUCCCAAAAAUAAGUUUUGACGGUGGUGGCGGAGGAGGGGGUGGCCUAGGUGGGGGUGGUCUUGUUUGNNNNNNNNNNNNNGGAGUAGGAGUGGUAGGGGUUGGGUGAGAUAAAAAAAAUCUUAAAAUUAGAAAAAAUUUCAAAAAAUAAUUUUUUUUUUGUUUGGGAUGGGGGGAGGGGGGGGGGGGGCUAGUUUGGUGGUAGGGAUAAAUAUAUUUGAAAUUUUAAAAAUAAGUACUUUUAAAAAAUUUAAUUUUUUUUUUUGAAUGGGUAGGGUCGAGUACGUGGUAUGGAUAGGGUAAGAAAAAAAUAAAAGGAUGAAAUAAAGUUUUGAAAAUUGUUUUUCCUAAUUUUGAAAGUGAAGUCAUUUACCUUAAAUUUGAGGAAAGUUAGUUGAUUUGAAAAACAUUUUCCAAACAUUUAAGUCAACCAAACAUGAAAAAAUUGAAAAACAUUAGUACCAAACACACCCUCAAUGCAUCAUUCAAUUUCUAUAAAAGGUCAAAAUCGGGGGUUGGGAUGUCAAAAUCACAUUCAACUCUACCUUUGAAUCCAAAAAAGCGGUCAUAAACAGUAAUAUCAACAGCAAUUCUUGAUAUUUACACAAAAAAUCAAAUCAUUCGUAUCUACCUUUAAUUGAAAUAAAAAAUCAUAAACUGUUAUAUCAAUAUUGUAAUAAGAGCUGAUAAAAUUAAUCCAUGAAAAUAUAAAUCAUUCAUAAACAUCUUCUUGUCCUUAAUAUGUUAUAUAAAAUCAUUAUAAUUUUAAAAAAAUUAGUUUAAUUUGGCUCUAAAAUGAAUAAUUAUCGCUCAAUUCCUUUAAACUAUCUAGUAUAUAGAUAAUAUACACCUUAUACCAAAAAUACAUAUCGAUACACAACAUACUCAGAUGUUACAAUCAAGUUAUUGUUUUGAAAGCAAUUUGACCUACAAAGUGAAGAUUCCCAUAAUUGGCAAUGGUGGAAGUUUUUUGCUUCCUCUUCGUCAUAUUUUUGCUAUAAUAUAAAGAAAAAUCAAAGCAAAAUUGAUACAAACACAUUUUGUCAGUUAAAAUACAAGUCAUAUGUCAUGUACAUUUUAGUUUUAAUAAUAAAACAAAUAGGCAUGUGCCUAUAUAAGAUGUGUUGGUGGACACAAUGAAUUUUUGCUAUAUAUAAUGCCAAUUUUUUUAGAUUUUUGCUAUAUAAUGCCAAACUUUUUAGAUUUUAAUCUAAUCUUGGCUAAAUAUAUGCCAAUGAUUCUUAGAAUUAACUAUAUAUAGAUAUCAAUAUCCCUAUCUUUGAAGAGAAAUCAUUUCAAUCAAGAAUUUCUUAAAGCAAUGUUUAUUUAAUAUCUCUGUUUAAAAGGAAACGGAUAUAUAUAUAUAUAUAUAUAUGACUGAUUUUAUGAUAUUUAUUGAGUGGUGGUUAUUGACUUGUCCAUUAUUGAUUUUAUGAUAUUUACUGACACACAUGCAUCCUGUAUCAUUUAUCAUAUAUCUUGUUAGCUUUCAAAGUUGAAGCAAGGGAGAGAGGCAUAAUGGAUUGCUAUACACUUGUGUUUGGAUCAAUUUUAGUAUUGGCUAUCCUUUGUAAUAUCAUAGCAAAAAUAUGUAGCAAAGGAAGCUUAAAACUUCCACCAGGGCCAUCACCAUGGCCAAUUAUUGGAAAUCUUCACUUGUUAGGUGCAAAACCUCAUACAUCACUAGCCAAUCUUGCAAAAAUUUAUGGUCCAAUUAUGAGUUUAAAAUUAGGACAAAUAACAACAGUGGUCAUUUCUUCAUCAACCAUUGCAAAACAAGUCCUUAAAACUCAAGAUCAAGCCUUUUCAUCUAGAUUUGUUCCUAAUGCUCUUCAAGCACACAACCAUUACAAAUUCUCUGUGGGAUGGCUUCCUGUUUGUCCUCAAUGGCGAACGCUUCGCAGAAUAAUGAACAUAAAUAUCUUCUCUCCCAAUAGGCUUGAUGCAAAUCAACAUCUAAGGUCUCUAAAGGUGAAAGAAUUGAUUGCUUAUUGUGAAAAAUGUAGUCAACAAGGUGAAGCUUUGGAUAUAGGUCAAGUUGCUUUCAAGACUAAUCUCAACUUGUUGUCAAACACACUUUUCUCCAAGGAUUUGGCUGACCCUUUUUCAGAUUCAAAGGUAGAGUUGAAGGAAGUUAUAUGGGGUGUCAUGGCUGAGGCAGGGAAGCCUAACCUAGUAGAUUUUUUUCCCAUACUUGAAAAGAUAGAUCUUCAAGGAAUAAAACGUCGUGCAAUCAUUCAUUUUGGUAAGUUGUUUAAACUUUUUGAUGGUUUGAUCAAUGAGCGAUUGGAGGAAAAGAGAAGAUCAGGAUUCAUGGAAAAAAGUGAUGUUCUGGAAAUGCUUCUCAAUAUUACUGAAAAAAAUCUUGAAGAAAUUGAUCAUAAUCACAUCAAGUCCAUGUUCCUGGUUUGUAUUCUCUUACCAUCAUUUAUCAUUAGCUUAUGUUAAUUUCUAUUAAUUAUUAUUCUAAUUUAUGAAUUUUCUUUAAAUUGCUGCAAUAUAUGGUUAUAUAUUUUGAUGUACAAAUGUUAUAGGACCUAUUUGGUGCGGGUACUGAUACAACUACAAGCACAUUGGAAUGGGCAAUGACAGAAUUGCUUAAACAACCUGAGAUAAUAAAAAAAUCUCAAGUUGAACUCGCAGAAAUCAUUGGAAAAGGAAAACCAAUUAGAAGAAGCUGAUGUUUCUCGACUCCCUUACUUGCAAUGCAUUAUUAAAGAAACAUUAAGACUGCACCCACCAGUUCCGCUCUUAGUUCCGCGCAAAGUGGAGCAAGAUGUUCAAUUGUGUGACUACAUCAUUUCCAAGGGCUCACAGGUAUGUGUGCCAAAUUAAAGUUAUUUGACGAAUAUAAUAUGAAUAGUACUCCAAAAAAAGACCCAAAAGAAAAUUUAUCAAUUUUUUUUUAACUUUUGUUUGGUUAUUCUUUUUCAAAAAUAAAGAAAUUAAAACUUGGUUAGAGUUGGACGGAUUAUGUUUGGCCUAUUGUUUAGUACUUAAUCUUAGCUCUGAUAUUUUUGGGCGAGUAAUUAAUGACCUUUCUAUUUAUUGAUUAGCUCUUUUGAUCAAUCCAAACAUAAACUAACUAACUCAUUUAAUUUGAGUCCCUUACUCACAGGUACUAGUUAAUGUGUGGGCAAUUGGUCGAGAUUCUACUUUUUGGAAGGACCCUGUAGUGUUUAAACCUGAGAGAUUUUUGAGUUUGGAUUUAGAUAUGCAAGGACAAGACUUUGAGUUGAUUCCAUUUGGUGCGGGGCGAAGAAUAUGCCCUGGCUUGCCACUAGCAUUGAGGAUGAUUCCAGUAAUGUUGGGCUCACUCUUGAAUUCAUUCAAUUGGAAACUUGAAGCAGGCAUUGAGCCACAAGCAUUAGACAUGGAGGAGAAGUUUGGUAUCACCUUAGCCAAAGCUCGUCCUUUGCGAGCUAUCCCCUCUCCUCUUUGAUGUUGCAUUGCCUAGUCUAUAAAUACUUAUUUGUAUUUGAUAUUUACAAUGAACCAAGUAUUUAUGUCUUAAUAAUCUCAGCACUUCAUCAUGACUUAACCAUG
rnacentral:lncRNA from 1 species